AGCUUUGCGUAGUGGCGCUAUCGUAACUAAUGAGAUUUUACCGAGAUGCGAUUAUUGCUAGAUGAAAAAGAAUUGCGUAUUAUUCGAAUAUAUCCUUCUUUCGGGUAAGUGCCGCGUUCGGGUAAAUGUUACAUU